CAGGAAUGUUGGCCAAGACCUGAAAGAGAGGGAGGGGAGUGGAGUCUGCUUUGCUUGCUGUCCAGGCUCUCGGGACCAUCUGAGGAAGUGCAGGCCUCUUUGUAGAGGUCUGUGAUGCUGGACCACCCUCAGCUAGCCAGCCACUUUGGAGCUGUGGUAUAGAUUCCAAAGGAAUACCUGAAGCUGGCUCCACAUCUGUGAAGCAGAGUUUAGAACUGGCACGUACAGCAACAGACAUUUGCUCAGUGUGCGUGAGGUCCCGGGCUUCUUCCCCAACACCCAAAGAGCCACAGUGAAGAACACUCUGGAGUUACCACUGCCUUGACGUCAGAGAGGACAACUUAACACGCAAUACAACACCUGCCAGGAUGAGGCCGGGGAAGCUUGAGGGGCCAUGGAUUCUAGAGUACAAACCUUUCCCAACGUUUGAAGAAGGGAAAUGAGAAAAAAUGAACACCCAGAAGCUGGCAGCUCACCUGGUCCUGUGUCCACAAGUGGUGAAGAGACCUCCUCUCAAAUAAGAUAGAAGGAAGACUCUGUUCUUCCAGAAACCUCCGGAGACAGAUACCCACCAGACCAUCAAGAGCCUCUUGCCAUUGAAUA
rnacentral:lncRNA from 1 species